CAGAUUAUACAUAAUGCCUGCCAUUGAAAAUCUUAAAAUAUUGGGAGCGAGCAAAAAUCCAAUCUCCCGCUUUUUCUCUUUCGCGCGCUUUUUUUUACAUCGACCCUCUCUCAAUUUCUCUCCGAUUCUCUUAAUCCCUCUCAAUUUCUCUCCCAUAAUUGAGCGAUUCCAGCCAACCGUUAAUCGUGGCUCCUUCCAUCUCUCCAAAGACUCCUACUGUCGUCACACCUCUCUCUCUCUCUCUCGCUUGCUCAACUGUGAGAUUAUAUACAUUCAGCUCUCUUGAUUUUCCCUUGUUCUCUCUCUCUCUCUCCCAUCUCUGCAAAGAUAUCAUGGCUCCUACCAUCUCUCCAACGAGUCCUACUCUCGUCACACCUCUCUCGCUCGACUGAGAUUAUAAAGAUUUUCAAUUCGCUCGAUUUCUCCCAUGUUCUCUCUCUCCCUCUCUCUCUCUCUCUCCCUCUCUUGACUGAGAAUUGAACCAGAGAUCAUAUGUCUCAACCCAACAACACACGGCCAAUUAGGUACUUGCAUGGAUUUUGUCCUCCACUUAUAUGAUACAAAGUACGACUCGGGGAUUGACUAGCUACCAUGGUGUGUGAACAUUUAUUUUGAGAAGCUCAUUAUGUCACUGUUAGCUUGUGAGCUAUAGAUUUUUUAUUUUUAUUUUUAUUUUUUUUUUAAUUUAGUAUUAUCUAUGGAUAUUGGAUUUUUUUUAUCUUCAAGAUGACAAUCUAGUUUAUUACAUGCUUUUUUCCAACUUAACUUUUGUAGGGAAUAUAUAACCUUUUAU